GCCAGUCACACAGUACCGCUGGUUUCAUCCAAAUUCAAGGUUACAUGAAAAGGAAAAGGGGUAGACCUUUCCAAAGACGGGUGGACCAAAUAAGAACUGUUGCAGGUGGCACAUGGACUAGAACUGCGGGGCAUAGAAAUUUGUGGAGGAAAUUAGAGGAGGACUUUGCCAACAAUAGGCAAACAGACAAGCUAUAUUGGGGAAUUCUGCGAUGUCAUUGUUACUGUGGAUAUUAUCAUAAAAGGAUUUUGGAAGAAUGAAAUUCUGCAAGCGAAAUCCAGUUCAUAUUACAGUCGCUGGUUGUAUUUGACUUUAUUCUUUGGCCCUUUAGAUGUUCUAGGAUGUACCCCAAUGUAUCUCAUCCUGAAUAUCAUAAUACCAAGUAAUAUUGAUGAAAACAAUGAGGUUUUACUAAACACUAUUAUGAAAUUUGCCCAUUUGUACAUGUUGCUUGGCUAUUUCAACUAAAUAGCAGAUUCGCCAACGAAGAAUAUUGCAUUUUAUAUGAUACUAAAGUUCCACAUAUUGAGUAUACUGGUGGUGUUAGGUACUAGUAGCUACUUUGUCAGCAUGUCAGAUGUAUUGACUUCGGUUGAGAUGCGGCGGGUCAACUUGGUACAAUGACUCGUCGCAACGAAUGGAUCCCAAGUUUUAUACCUUAAGAUGAAAAGCCUACAUUGGAUCAAUUACAUAUGAUUGAAUUGGUUGUUGUGAAUGGACAGUGCAAAGAAAGACCUGUAAUGUUUCGAAUGUUUAAGAAUUGGCAAUAUUAUAUUGAUAUUUUGUCGAUAGUGUUACCACUUUUCACCGAUAUAAUGGGUAAAUUUAUUGUGCAAGAGGGUGAUAUAUUUUCAUGUUUGUAUUUAAUAAACGAAGGCGAGGUUGAAAAAUGGUAUACUGAUAAGAGGUCGUUGACUUCGUAUACCUUCGAUUCGCCAAUUGGCAGGAUUUGCUGCAGGGCUACCCGAAUAUAAAGUAUGAAUUGAACAAAAAUGCCAAGCUAUUUAAGAAGGAAUUGUUUGUGUGAUUAAAAUAAAGACUGUUAUUAU